rnacentral:rRNA from 1 species
AUUGAACGCUGGCGGCAUGCUUUACACAUGCAAGUCGAACGGUAACAGGCCGCAAGGUGCCGACGAGUGGCGCACGGGUGGGUAAUGCAUCGGAACGUGCCCAGUCGUGGGGGAUAACUACUCGAAAGAGUAGCUAAUACCGCAUACGAUCUAUGGAUGAAAGCGGGGGACCGUAAGGCCUCGCGCGAUUGGAGCGGCCGAUGUCAGAUUAGGUAGUUGGUGGGGUAAAGGCUCACCAAGCCAACGAUCUGUAGCUGGUCUGAGAGGACGACCAGCCACACUGGGACUGAGACACGGCCCAGACUCCUACGGGAGGCAGCAGUGGGGAAUUUUGGACAAUGGGCGCAAGCCUGAUCCAGCAAUGCCGCGUGCAGGAAGAAGGCCUUCGGGUUGUAAACUGCUUUUGUACGGAACGAAACGGCUCUGGUUAAUACCCGGGGCUAAUGACGGUACCGUAAGAAUAAGCACCGGCUAACUACGUG